rnacentral:rRNA from 1 species
UACGUAGGGUGCAAGCGUUGUCCGGAAUUAUUGGGCGUAAAGAGCGUGUAGGCGGCCCGACCAGUCCGCUGUGAAAGUCCAGGGCUCAACCCUGGAAUGCCGGUGGAUACUGUCGGGCUAGAGUCCGGAAUGGGCGAGUGGAAUUCCUGGUGUAGCGGUGAAAUGCGCAGAUAUCGGGAAGAACACCCGUGGCGAAGGCGGCUCUCUGGGACGGUACUGACGCUGAGACGCGAAAGCGUGGGGAGCGAACAGG